UACAGGGGGGGCAAGCGUUGUUCGGAAUUACUGGGCGUAAAGGGCUCGUAGGUGGCCAACUAAGUCAGACGUGAAAUCCCUCAGCUUAACUGGGGAACUGCGUCUGAUACUGGAUGGCUUGAGUUUGGGAGAGGGAUGCGGAAUUCCAGGUGUAGCGGUGAAAUGCGUAGAUAUCUGGAGGAAUACCGGUGGCGAAGGCGGCAUCCUGGACCAUAACUGACGCUGAGGCGCGAAAGCUAGGGGAGCAAACGGG
rnacentral:rRNA from 1 species